rnacentral:rRNA from 1 species
ACGGGUGAGUAACGCGUAAGUAAUCUACCCCGGCAUCUGGAAUAACUCUCCGAAAGGAAGGCUAAUACCGGAUACGUUGGUAACAAGAAAGGUGGCCUCUGCAUAUGCUACCGUGCUGGGAUGAGCUUGCGUACCAUUAGCUAGUUGGUAGGGUAAUGGCCUACCAAGGCGACGAUGGUUAGCGGGUCUGAGAGGAUGAUCCGCCACACUGGAACUGGAACACGGACCAGACUCCUACGGGAGGCAGCAGUGAGGAAUAUUGCGCAAUGGGGGCAACCCUGACGCAGCGACGCCGCGUGGAUGAUGAAGGCCUUCGGGUCGUAAAAUCCUGUCAGGUGGAAAGAAGUGCAUGGUGGCUAAUAUCCACUAUGUUUGACGGUACCACCGAAGGAAGCACCGGCUAACUCCGUGCCAGCAGCCGCGGUAAUACGGAGGGUGCAAGCGUUGUUCGGAAUUACUGGGCGUAAAGCGCGCGUAGGCGGUUUGUUAAGUCAGAUGUGAAAGCCCUCGGCUCAACCGGGGACGUGCAUUUGAAACUGGCAGACUUGAGUACUGGAGGGGGUGGUGGAAUUCCCGGUGUAGAGG